UCACUAUAGUAGUGCAUGUUAUAAACUUAGAAGGAUACAGAAAAAGUUAACAAAGUCCCUGUGCAAGAAUGAUACACAUAUUUUUGAACAGUUCCUAUUAUUU